UACGUAGGGGGCAAGCGUUGUCCGGAUUUAUUGGGCGUAAAGAGCGUGUAGGCGGUCAGGUAGGUCCGUUGUGAAAACUCGAGGCUCAACCUCGAGACGCCGAUGGAAACCAUCUGACUAGAGUCCGGAAGAGGAGAGUGGAAUUCCUGGUGUAGCGGUGAAAUGCGCAGAUAUCAGGAGGAACACCGAUGGCGAAGGCAGCUCGCUGGGACGGUACUGACGCUGAGACGCGAAAGCGUGGGAGCAAACAGG
rnacentral:rRNA from 1 species